ACCUGCCCUAUGAAUAAUUUGCUUUUAAAUGGCUGCGGUACCCUGACCGUGCAAAGGUAGCAUAAUAAUUAGUUUCUUAAUUGGGAACUGGAAUGAAUGGUCGAACGAGAAAAAGACUGUCUCAAUUUAAUUUAAAUUAGAAUUUUAUUUUUAAGUAAGAAAGCUUAAAUAUACUUAAAAGACGAGAAGACCCUAUAGAGUUUUAUAUAAAUUAUUAUGAUUGAAAGUUAAAGUAUUAUAGAUUUGAUUAUAAUAAUUUAUAUUUGGUUGGGGCGAUUAAAAAAUUUAAUGAACUUUUUUUAGAUUAAACCAUUGAUUUAUGAGUAGGUGAUCCAUAUUUUAUGAUUAAAAGAUU
rnacentral:rRNA from 1 species